rnacentral:misc_RNA from 1 species
CCGGAGAAAAUCUACAUUGUAUGAAAACAUAGCAUACAAAAUUGAUCAUCAAAAAGAUAUGGACCAAUCGUAGAAGUUACUCCUCCAUUUGUCCUAUAGGACAAUUCUAGGGUCUGAAACUUUACAAACCCAAAUUUCAUGAACAAGUACAGUUUAGUUGAUGCCAUCAGCUACACUUGGCGCAACUUGUUACAAAAAGGUUAAACGACAAAUAGUUGGACUUGGGAACACAUAAACAAGAGAAUCAUACAGAUUUUGUCCAAUUGCUGGGAACUAAGGCUUCAAAACAAUUAGUUGCAGAUAGGAGGAAGAGAAGUCUUUCAGUGCUUCCUCCAAGCUGUCAUCCCCAUCUCCCGCUCCUCUCCCUCUUACCCUUCACAGUGGCCCAAAGGGGUCCCAACAUAGCCAAUCAUAAUCCUUCACCCAAUAAAGCAUACAAGCAUUUGAAUUUCACGUGCACUAUGGACCCAUCGACACCCUAACUGGGCAUCACCCUGUCAAAUAAAUCAAAGUAGAGGCCCCAAAAGUCCCUCUGAUCUGAUCUCAGGGUAGAUACGCUAUGCUCACAUUCCUACAGCUAUGGAUUCUAGAACAUAAUUGAUCAUCAUUUAAGUUUGCAAAACUUGGGUAUGAGCGUACUUGACACUGUAGGCAGAGAUACGCCCAAUGGCAAAGCCAUCUACUUUUUCCAAACAUAGGAUAAGCAUCCAUAACACGCUGAGGAUAAAAACUUUGGAGACCUUUUUUUUUUAAAAAAAAAAUCUGUGAUGGAGAUGGGAUUGUGGUUGCUGCUGCUUGAAAAAAUUGUAAAGAUUUAUGAAAUCUUUCUUUCUUGCGACUUUUUCUAUUCAACUUUGGCAUAUGUUUGAUGGUUUCUCUUAUAAAUAAUAAUUGCCCAAAAAAGAGAACCAAAGGUAAAAUCCUAAAACUCUUGCAACAGUUAGGCAGUCUUCAUACGAAUUCUCAAAACUGAAUAUUGGUUUAGUUGACUCAGCACCCAAAUCUUCACCUUUAAAUUCUCUUCUCAGCCAUUCAUUUCCCUGUCUCUUCCACAACUCUCCUUUUGCUUUUGCUUACAAAGAAACAACUAAUACCAGCUUAAACACCUUUUGCCCUCAGCUCCCUCCAAUUUUUCCAACCACAAGAUGAGAUGCCCACCCGCUAUCUUCCACAAACAAAAUAAUAUGCUUUUCACAAGAAGUUUCAUGAUCUUACUCCUAAGCUUCAUGACUAUAAGAAUAAACCUGUGUUUUUCCAGCGACCAUUCUUCAUUGAGAACACUUUCCAUUGAUGGACAUUUAAUUUUUGAUGAUGUUCACCGUGCAGCCAAAGACUUCGGCAACAUGUUUCAGUUGCUCCCUUUUGCAGUGCUACAUCCAAAGUCAGUUUCUGACAUUGCCACUACAAUAAAACAUAUUUGGCAGAUGGGUCCUCAUUCACAGCUCACAGUUGCAGCCAGAGGCCACAGCCACUCGCUCCAAGGUCAGGCACAAGCCCACCAAGGAGUUGUCAUCAACAUGGAAUCUCUCCAAGGCCCUAAAAUGCAUGUUCAUGCUGGAAAUUAUCCAUAUGUGGAUGUCUCAGGUGGUGAGUUAUGGAUAAAUAUCCUGCAUGAAAGCCUGAAAUACGGGUUAGCACCAAAAUCAUGGACAGACUACCUAUAUUUAACAGUUGGUGGUACUUUAUCCAAUGCUGGGAUUAGCGGGCAGGCAUUUCAGCAUGGCCCGCAAAUAAGUAAUGUCUAUCAGCUGGAAGUUGUUACAGGGAAAGGAGAGAUAGUGAAUUGCUCAGAGAAUCAGAAUGGUGACCUAUUCCACAGUGUUCUUGGAGGACUUGGUCAGUUUGGCAUCAUAACAAGGGCAAGAAUAUCAUUAGAACCAGCACAUGAUAUGGUAAAAAGCAUGACCAUUGGGAGUAUUAAUUAAUUAAUUAGUACAAGAAAAGGAAAUAAUUAUUCUCAGUUUAGUUAAAAGUUUUACUUCUAAUAACAGAAUUCUGUAUUUCGAAUAGGUGAAAUGGAUUAGAGUGCUCUACUCAGACUUCAGCAAAUUUGCCAGAGACCAGGAGCUUCUAAUAUCUGCAGAAAACACGUUUGACUACAUUGAAGGAUUUGUGAUCAUUAACAGGACUGGUCUCUUAAAUAACUGGAGGUCAUCCUUUAAUCCUCAUGACCCAUUACAAGCUAGCCGGUUUGAAUCAGAUGGAAGAACACUAUUCUGCUUAGAAUUGGCCAAAUACUUCAACACAGACAAGAAAGAUGUAAUAAAUAAGGUUAGAAGCAAUAGCCCACCAUCUGGUCGUUUUCUAAAUUAUUUAACUAAAUUGAUUAAUAAAUUAUAAAUACGUAAUACACAAAUUAAUAAAUUAAAUUAAAUUAAUAAAAGGACACUUGUAUAUUUUUUUUAUGUUGCAGGAAGUAAUGAACUUGUUGUCUCAAUUAAGAUAUAUCCCAUCAACACUUUUUCUAUCAGAAGUUCCAUACAUGGAAUUCUUGGAUAGGGUUCAUGUGUCUGAGAUCAAACUACGGUCCAAAGGCUUGUGGGAAGUUCCACAUCCAUGGCUAAAUCUUCUUGUCCCCAAAAGCAAAAUUCACAAUUUUGCUGAAGAAAUCUUUGGAAAUAUCCUUACAGACACCAGUAAUGGGCCCAUCCUCAUCUACCCAGUCAACAAAUCAAAGUAACAGUUCAACAAAGAUCAUUUUAUUUCUGUAAAUUCCUGUAGCUUUUUUUGAAUGAUUAAUUCAUUGAUUCCAAUUUCAGGUGGGACAACAGAACUUCUGCUGUUAUUCCAGAAGAAGAUAUUUUCUACUUGGUGGCAUUCCUUUCCUCUGCCGUUCCCUCUUCAAGAGGAAGUGAUGGCUUAGAACAUAUCCUAACUCAGAACAGGCGAAUCCUAGAAUUUUGUGGCACAGCCCGUCUUGGUGUCAAGCAAUAUCUGCCUCACUACACUACACAGGAAGAGUGGCAAGCCCACUUUGGUCCACAAUGGGAAGUUUUUGUGCAAAGAAAAUCUGCUUAUGACCCUUUGGCAAUACUUGCACCUGGCCAAAGAAUAUUUCAAAAGGCAAUAGCUUUCUCAUGACACUGGUGAAAAUUUUAUUUUAAAAGAAAAUGCCCUUACAGCAUGUGGGAGGAAGAUGCCUUAACCUCCCUGCAAAUACUAAAUAGAUAACUAUAUUUUUUCCCCCUAUUUUCUAAUAUACUCCAAGUUUCACAAGAAGGCUACAGAAGCUACUCAAACUUUGUUUUCAAAUGUUGAAUAUUUCAAAUAUCUAGUAUUUAUAAUCUUGCUUGACAAUUUGAAAACCUUUCUGAAGAUAUCCCCACCUUGCCAUACGACAACAUGAAGUACAAUGCUUGAGAACACCCCAAAAUAUAUUCAAAUUCGUCUGCUCAGCAUAGGACAAGAAGUUAAAAGACUAAUUAAACAGUAAUUAAUCGAAUAUGUAAUCAUGAAAUAAGAAUUACUGCAACUACAAACCACCUAAAAUGUUGGUUCUGAAGACAAUUUACCCAAAAAUUAAUGAAUAAAUAAAUAUUUCAUGCACAACAGUUGAAGAAGAGAAACUAUCAAGUAUAACUAAAAUGCCAUCAUAGAGACAUAUCUUAUGGGGAAUUAGGCAAAAGAAUUCAUAUCUAACCAUUUGAUCCCCAGGAAAACACAAGUUGGCCACAAGCAAAUACUUUAGGGAGAAAAUCUAACUAAACUCAAUUACCUUUGUACGGUAGUAUAUAGGUAUGUUUGCAUUAAGAAGAGUAAGAGUAACACCAAAUUGUUUCACACUUUCACUUUCCUUUCUCCAUCCUAUAGGCAUUUUAGAUUGAAAGCGCGUCUAAGCUUGCAAUGCAAUAUAGCACCGCAGCUAAUCGUAUUUGAAAGAACCCAUGAAAAUAAACCUCUAGGAUUAGACAUAAAUGAAGCUGUUACCGGAGAUUAGAUCGAGCUAAAUGCAAUUCCAUCAUCUCUUUGAGGAAAGAGGUAUUCUAAUCGACAACCCAUCUUUGCCCAUAGAACAAAAGAAGCGCAUGAAGCCUCACCCAAUUCAAUCGUUCUCGCAA